rnacentral:lncRNA from 1 species
GAACAUAGUCAAUCAUUGACUUGAAGUUAUUGUUAGCGAUAAUCAUGUGACUGAGCAUGCGCGUUUCUUUUCAUUAUUUCACUUUAUAACGGUAUACUGCAAUUGCGCAGUUUCUAUUCACCGAAGACUUGCUAACCAGAACUUGAAAUUUUGGAAGCGAUUUGAGUAACAAAUAUGCCAGGCGAUAACCGUCAGAACAAGGAGAAUGAUGCUCCAAAUGAUGGUAACGGAGAAGUAUUAGCAGCUUUAGGAAUAGUGGCGGGACUUGCGGUGGGAGUCCUCGUGUAUAUUUUUAGAGGAUAAGUAAAGGUUACAUGUUUUAUCAAUGAAGAGAGCACUGAUGGACUAGUAUUGCACGAGUAGUAUUGCACGAUGUACACCGAAGGAGCUUUGCGCAAGAAGGAGAAAGGAAGAAAGAGAGAGAC